GGCGGCAGGCUUAACACAUGCAAGUCGAGCGGGGAAGGGUAGCUUGCUACCUAACCUAGCGGCGGACGGGUGAGUAAUGCUUAGGAAUCUGCCAUUUAGUGGGGGACAACAUUCCGAAAGGAAUGCUAAUACCGCAUACGUCCUACGGGAGAAAGCAGGGGAUCUUCGGACCUUGCGCUAAAUGAUGAGCCUAAGUCGGAUUAGCUAGUUGGUGGGGUAAAGGCCUACCAAGGCGACGAUCUGUAGCGGGUCUGAGAGGAUGAUCCGCCACACUGGGACUGAGACACGGCCCAGACUCCUACGGGAGGCAGCAGUGGGGAAUAUUGGACAAUGGGCGGAAGCCUGAUCCAGCCAUGCCGCGUGUGUGAAGAAGGCCUUAUGGUUGUAAAGCACUUUAAGCGAGGAGGAGGCUACCUAGAUUAAUACUCUAGGAUAGUGGACGUUACUCGCACAAUAAGCACCGGCUAACUCUGUGCCAGCAGCCGCGGUAAUACAGAGGGUGCGAGCGUUAAUC
rnacentral:rRNA from 2 species